rnacentral:rRNA from 1 species
CUAGUGGCGGACGGGUGAGUAACGCGUGGGUAACCUGCCUUAUACAGGGGGAUAACAACCAGAAAUGGUUGCUAAUACCGCAUAAGCGCACAGGACCGCAUGGUCCGGUGUGAAAAACUCCGGUGGUAUAAGAUGGACCCGCGUUGGAUUAGCUAGUUGGCAGGGCAACGGCCUACCAAGGCGACGAUCCAUAGCCGGCCUGAGAGGGUGAACGGCCACAUUGGGACUGAGACACGGCCCAGACUCCUACGGGAGGCAGCAUG